AUUGAACGCUGGCGGCAGGCCUAACACAUGCAAGUCGAACGGUAGCACAGAGAGCUUGCUCUCGGGUGACGAGUGGCGGACGGGUGAGUAACGUCUGGGAAACUGCCCGAUGGAGGGGGAUAACUACUGGAAACGGUAGCUAAUACCGCAUAACGUCACAAGACCAAAGUGGGGGACCUUCGGGCCUCACACCAUCGGAUGUGCCCAGAUGGGAUUAGCUAGUAGGUGGGGUAAUGGCUCACCUAGGCGACGAUCCCUAGCUGGUCUGAGAGGAUGGCCAGCCACACUGGAACUGAGACACGGUCCAGACUCCUACGGGAGGCAGCAGUGGGGAAUAUUGCACAAUGGGCGCAAGCCUGAUGCAGCCAUGCCGCGUGUAUGAAGAAGGCCUUCGGGUUGUAAAGUACUUUCAGCGGGGAGGAAGGCGGUGAAGUUAAUAACUUCACCGAUUGACGUUACCCGCAGAAGAAGCACCGGCUAACUCCGUGCCAGCCGCCGCCGUAA
rnacentral:rRNA from 1 species